UGGGCGGGACGGGUGAGUAAUGUCGUGGGAAACCGCCCGAGGGAGGGGGAUAACUACUGGGAACGGAGCUAAUACCGCAUAACGUCGCAAGACCAAAGAGGGGGACCUUCGGGCCUCUUGCCAUCGGAUGUGCCCAGAUGGGAUUAGCUAGUAGGUGGGGUAACGGCUCACCUAGGCGACGAUCCCUAGCUGGUCUGAGAGGAUGACCAGCCACACUGGAACUGAGACACGGUCCAG
rnacentral:rRNA from 1 species